AGUGAACGCUGGCGGUAGGCCUAACACAUGCAAGUCGAACGGCAGCACAGUAAGAGCUUGCUCUUACGGGUGGCGAGUGGCGGACGGGUGAGGAAUACAUCGGAAUCUACUUUUUCGUGGGGGACAACGUAGGGAAACUUACGCUAAUACCGCAUACGACCUACGGGUGAAAGCAGGGGAUCUUCGGACCUUGCGCGAUUGAAUGAGCCGAUGUCGGAUUAGCUAGUUGGCGGGGUAAAGGCCCACCAAGGCGACGAUCCGUAGCUGGUCUGAGAGGAUGAUCAGCCACACUGGAACUGAGACACGGUCCAGACUCCUACGGGAGGCGGCAGUGGGGAAUAUUGGACAAUGGGCGCAAGCCUGAUCCAGCCAUACCGCGUGGGUGAAGAAGGCCUUCGGGUUGUAAAGCCCUUUUGUUGGGAAAGAAAAGCAGCAGGUUAAUACCCCGCUGUUCUGACGGUACCCAAAGAAUAAGCACCGGCUAACUUCGUG
rnacentral:rRNA from 1 species